AUUGAACGCUGGCGGCAUGCUUUACACAUGCAAGUCGAACGGCAGCGCGGGCUUCGGCCUGGCGGCGAGUGGCGAACGGGUGAGUAAUGCAUCGGAACGUGCCCAGUAGUGGGGGAUAGCCCGGCGAAAGCCGGAUUAAUACCCCAUACGACCUGAGGGUGAAAGCGGGGGACCGAAAGGCCUCGCGCUAUUGGAGCGGCCGAUGUCGGAUUAGCUAGUUGGUGGGGUAAAGGCUUACCAAGGCGACGAUCCGUAGCUGGUCUGAGAGGACGACCAGCCACACUGGCACUGAGACACGGCCCAGACUCCUACGGGAGGCAGCAGUGGGGAAUUUUGGACAAUGGGGGCAACCCUGAUCCAGCCAUGCCGCGUGCGGGAAGAAGGCCUUCGGGUUGUAAACCGCUUUUGUUCGGGAAGAAAUCCUCUGGGCUAAUACCCCGGGGGGAUGACGGUACCGGAAGAAUAAGCACCGGCUAACUACGUG
rnacentral:rRNA from 1 species